rnacentral:rRNA from 1 species
AUUGAACGCUGGCGGCAGGCCUAACACAUGCAAGUCGAACGGUAGCACAGAGAGCUUGCUCUCGGGUGACGAGUGGCGGACGGGUGAGUAACGUCUGGGAAACCGCCCGAUGGAGGGGGAUAACUACUGGAAACGGUAGCUAAUACCGCAUAACGUCGCCAGACCAAAGUGGGGGAACGUCGGGCCUCACACCAUCGGAUGUGCCGGGAUGGGAUUAGCUAGUAGGUGGGGUAAUGGCUCACCUAGGCGACGAUCCGUAGCUGGUCUGAGAGGAUGACCAGCCACACUGGAACUGAGACACGGUCCAGACUCCUACGGGAGGCAGCAGUGGGGAAUAUUGCACAAUGGGCGCAAGCCUGAUGCAGCCAUGCCGCGUGUAUGAAGAAGGCCUUCGGGUUGUAAAGUACUUUCAGCGGGGAGGAAGGCGGUGAAGUUAAUAACUUCACCGAUUGACGUUACCCGCAGAAGAAGCACCGGCUAACUCCGUGCCAGCCGCCGCGGUAA